CUGCAAGCCUCCAGGGUUAUUUUCGAUUCACCCUCCAGAUACCAGGCAUAGGUGUGGACUACCUGCCUGAGAUACAGAUCCUGGACACAGGUGUGUACCACCUGCCUGGGAUACAGAUCCUGGACACACCUGUGUACUGCCUGCCGGGAUACAGAUCUUGGACUAUCUGUUUGGAUACAGAUCCUGGAAAACCUGAAUGGGAUACAGAUCCUGGAUACAGCUGUGUACCACCUGGGAUACAGAUCCUGCACAAAGGUGUGUACUAAUUGCCUGGAUACAGAUCCUGGGAUACAGAUCCUAGUAUACCACCUGCCAGGGAUACAGAUAAUGGACUCCCUGCCUGGAUACAAAUCCUGUCCUACCUGCCUGAGAUACACAUCCUGGAUACAGGUGUGUAUCACCUGCCUGGGUUACAGAUCCUGGACAUAGGUGUGUACUACCUGUCUGGGAUACAGAGGCUGGAUACAGGUGUGUACUCCCUGCCUUGGAUACAGAUCCUGGACUCCCUGCCAGGGAUACAGAUCCUGGAUAAAGAUCCUGGACACAGGUGUGUACUACAUGCUUGGGAUACAGAUCUUGGACUCCCUGCCUGGGACACAGAUCCUGGUUACAGAUAUGAACACAGGUGUGUACUACCUGCCUGGGAUACAGAUCCUGCACUCUGCCUGAAAUACAGAUCCUGGACAAAGGUGUGUGCUACCUGCCUGGGUUACAGAUAAACAAGAAGGCCUCAUCAAACAUGUGGAUAGGAUAAGUAUUUAAAGACAGAGAAAUAUGAAUUAUACACAUUUGCUGAGCACACACAUAUACCUAUUAGGAACCAUUGCACUGUAUUCUAAUAGAAUGUGCAGUAUUACUUGUGUAUUAAAAUAAACUGUGAACAAUGUCAGAAGAAAUCUUCUUAGGGACCCAAGUUUGGUGGGGCAAACUUGUAUUCAUAGCACUUGGGAUGCUCAGGUUGGAGGGAGGGCUUUUUAAAGAUAUCCUGGGCUAAAUAUAAGAGGUUUGGUUUCAGAAAAAAGUUAAGCAAACUGAAAACAAACAUGUCUGCAUUAGAAGGUUAGCAAUGUGCAAAUAUUGUAUCUUUGUGCAUCAAAAGCUAUUCAUUUCUC
rnacentral:lncRNA from 1 species